CCUCCCAUCUGUUGAAGAUUCAAGCAUCAUCCAAGCACUCCUUGUCUCCUUGAAGAUCCUUUCUCUUAUUUCUCUCGCACACUCUCUUCUCCUGCGUGUUACAUCCAUUUCAUGACGCGGUUGACCAAGUUUAGGAUAAAUAUAUUAUCUACCGAGCAAGCUAAGGUGAGUUCACACUACAACUAAAGGCAUGCAUUCCCUGUGGGUUUGGGAACUCCGUAUACAUUCCCGUUGGGACGGGAACUUCACGUAUUCCCAAUGGUUGGGAACUUCAAAUAUUCCCGGUGGUUGGGAACUUCAUACACUAAACGACAUUCUACCAGAAAGUCCCUUUUUCACUUAUACCGAUUAACCGUCGUGCGAGGCGGACGGGAUACUAGUUGAUAGCGCUAUUAGGUUUGACAACCUCACACUGUUCCUCUGGAGGAGGACCUGCGUGAACUAUUAUCUAGGAACUCUGGUCAAUGAUGGUAGAUAUUGAUCAAAAGGGCAAAUGACAAUUACGUCAAAGUUUCGGUACUGCAUAGUUUAGUGGAUUGAUUGGUUCAUUUAUGCAUUUAUAUGGGGUAGCACCCCACUGCAUUUGUUGAUUACAAGGUCCGUAGAUGCUGCACUGGAGUUUGCUUGGAGCGUUAUGGUGGUCGUCUAGAAUCCUUUAUCGGAAUCCUACAUUUGAACUUAUGUUUUAAGCUACUUAUGAACUUAAUGCUUCCGCUAAACACCCAAACUUUAUUUUGUUGAACUUGCUAUGGUUUAGAACUUUAUUUUAAACCUACUAUGUUUUAGACUUAAAUGUUUGGUCACUAGUCAUAGUGAUAAUGGUUUUGUGUUACUUAUGAUAAAUGUUCAAUGUGAUUGGUGGUUGGAUCCUGGGCAGUCAUACGCCUCGUGGUGAUACUCCGUACGUGGGAUUUGAGGGUGUGACAUGAGUGGCUUCUAAAGAUGUAAUAGGCUGAAAGAAGUUAAUACUUGUCAAGUGCUCAUAUGGGAUCGGAACUAUAACUUGUGUAAUAAAAUGAAGAGUGAGCUGGAUAUUUUAGAUAUGAAAUGAACUAGAAUGAGAUGGACUUUCCUAAAA